AGUCUGGGCCACAGGUUCCGCCAGGUGCAGCUGCAAAACAUGGCCCAUUUAGCUGUCUUUUUUCUGCUCCUGGUAUUGACUCACCUGAUCUCCUACUAACACUUCAACCCUAUCACGUGCUUGGUACACAGAGCUUGCUUAGCAUUAGGAGCUAAAUUUGCUGAAGCCUUAGACCACAAGUUGUGAAUUUCCACCCAGAUAGGCUGAACUUUUACCAAGUUAAGUAAAAGGGGGCCCCAGAGCUGGUUUGAGCUGGAAGAUAAGUAAGCAGGGAAGGCUGCUACCAUCAUUAAGUCAGCUGACACAGCAGUCUUAGAGAUAAGAGAAGGAACAACCCACCUACAGACAGUGAGGGAACCCAGUCAAAAACAGGAACACUCCAGAUCCUAAUAUUACUAGUGGUCAGAACUGUCAUGUGAGGGGUGGGGAACUUACACUGUAAGACUAUAAUUGCCCAAGGAUUUUUUUGAUUUUGGCUCCUCUUUGGAGGUACCCUUCUCAAGCUGCUCUACAUAUAAGAUACAUAAACAAGCCAUUUACUCAGUGGACUGGCAACUGUCUUCUUCAAGCAGGUCCAAGCCCUCUUGAUGGUGGCAUAAAUCCUGGCAGGGUAACUUUAGACCAGCUCAGCUUGGAGAACUCAUCUAGCAGCAGUGUGGGAGUCUGGCACAUGGCAACUUCUAAACCUCCAGGAUCCCAGGGAUGGUGUGAAAAACCCUUUCAAUGAUUUCUUAAAGAAUAAUUCAGCAGAAUUAAUUUCCAUCCUCAAAUAAAGCUCAGACUUCACUUGGA